UAUCCAAUUGUCCAGAAAUUGAGUCAUUUCCAAAAGAGGGUUUACCCUCCAAAUUAAAAAAUAUUACAAUUGAAAGAAGUGAAAAGCUAAUUGCGGGCAGGAAGGAUUGGGGUUUGGAAACACUCCCUUCACUUACAACCUUCCGAAUCCUUGAGGCAGAAGAGAUAGAGUCUUUUCCAGAUGAACAUCUGCUGCCCUCUACUCUUACUCGUCUCGACAUAUGGGAUCUUCCAAAUCUUAAGUUUUUGGACUGCAAGGGCUUUCAACACCUCACCUCUCUUCGCGAAUUGCGCAUCUCCAGAUGUCCAGAGCUCCAAUCCAUGCCGGUAAAGUGGCUCCCCAUUCCUAUCAUUUGGAUUGACGGUGAACUCAUAAUGAAAAAGGCCAUUUGGCAUAACUAAUGCAAUCUCACUCAGGCUGCUGGCACCUUACUUCUAGCUGUUGGUUGCGAAUUCUAGUUGAUGAUUGCCAGCCAAAUGAAGUUCCUCUUGCAUGAUUUGUCUUAGCCUGGAGCUUCAGGAGCUCAUUUUUCUAUCCAAGAAUCCUCUCCAUGAAAAAUUAUUGAAAGUUUCACUACUUUGCAUCAAGCACUGCAUUUGUCAUUUCAAAUUUGGAUUUUGCUAGCUAGAGCAGCAACAAGGAUGUGCACAGAUUUUAAACCAAUAAAGAAUAAGGACUUCAACUCCUUCCUUCUCUUGUACAGUAUUUGAUCAGCAACUGCCAUAUUCUCUAGUUCAUACCAGAGGCACUGUCUUCCUUACCGUGUUUCAUUCAGUUUAAGAACUUCUCAAACAAAAAGGGCGACUGCUCCUUUUGGAAGAUCUUUCUCUUUGAGGGUUUUCCUGACUCCUUGGUAGUGGCUAUCGAUCCUAACUUCCUUUGGAACAGGUUUGUUCUGUAAACAGUGAAGAAUUUGGAGGCAUUCUGUCAUCUUGAAGAACUUUACUUCAGACUAUCCUAAGCUACUCGAGGUGUUUCCCUUUUGAUGAAACUUGAAAGUGAUGCAUGGGGGCAUUUUGUGGGUUAACUUCCAAUUGCAGCAAUCCAUGAAAUUGGAGUUGGUUGAAUUUCAUUCACUGCCUUUUCAGGAAUGCUUUGUUGUUUGCACAAGGUGAAAAAUUAGAGAUUUGCAAUGCUCCCAACUCAAGGAACUAUUACUGUCAAUCCUAUGAAAAGGUGGAUAGCUCCCUA